rnacentral:lncRNA from 1 species
UCUCAACAACCAAUCCCAAACCAAUCAUGCUCAACAAGCAUAUAAUAACCAAUCAACAUUUCUCAAUUUCAAUUCUAUCUACUUACCAAAGUAGCAUAGAUUAACCAAGUUACAUUUUUAUAANUUAUCACACAUAAUCAAUUACAAUCCAUUUCAUCUAACAAUCCCAUUCCAGUCAUGCUCAACAACCAAUUAAUAAUCAACAUAAUAUCAAUCCAAACAUAUCAUCAAUUCGUUUUGCCUACUUACCAAAGUANCGGAUACUCAAGAGAAUACUCAUCUCCAAACUCAAUUCACAAUCACAAUCUAAUAAUCCUUAAUCAUACUUAACAAAGUAUUUCACAUACAUCUCCUUAUCAACGCAAUUAAACUUACAGUUUAAUUAUCCUCAACCAUACUUAACAAAGUAUUUUCACAUACAACUCAUUUCCACAUCACCUAAUCCAUCAUUCACAAUCAAAUUCACAACUUUCUUCAUGGCAACACUGAUUACCGAAACUUAGGUAACUCAAACAGCUUGGAGACCAUCACCAAUGGUUCCGGAAGGGUCAAAAACCUCCAGAACGACCUAAAGAACGUCCAAAACGGACACCCGUAACCCCCAAAACCAUCAAAACAGAUUUAGUAGUGCGCAGAUGCAGGGUUAAUCGAUUAACCAUGAUAGUUAAUCGAUUAACUGUUUAUAUUUUACCCAAAAACUCAUUCAAAACAGCAUAGAAACCACCAACACUUUCCCUUAUCGCAAUUUCUUUUCCAGAAUGGUAUAAAACCAAGAUUUAACAUCAUAUCAACAUAUAAAAUGAUUUUCAAAUAUCUUUUCAUCAAGAUUUACAAUCAUCAAACACUUAGCAUCAUAGAAUCAAGAUCAAACAAUACCACUAAGUCCAAUACCAAAAUUUCCAGCAUAGAUUCAACACUUCUAACAUGUUUUAAAAUAUAUCUGGAGUCUGAAAUUUGCUUCCCAAACAACUACAAAUAUCAUAGACAUCAAACAUCCAUUUUCUCAUGCAAAAUCAACUAUUUUUGUUACACACAAAACAUAUUUUUCUGCAAAAUUUUCCAACAACUUUCAACCCACCACAACAACUCCAAAACAUGUUAAAUCCAUCUCAAAACAGUUUACAUACUUCAUCCAUUUAUCAAUUCAUCAAAAUAGAUUUGAAAUAAUAUAAUACUUAAGUGAGUUUACCAAAACUCAUCACCAAUUCUACUCAUCAAAACAAACUUCUAAAUCCAUCAUUUCUCAUCACAUAAAACUUUACAACAUCAAAAUCUUGAAGGUUUACUUAUCAUACUUCCACCUUGUUAAGACAUCCACACCAUCCAAAUCAAUCCAGCCAUCCAAAAUUCAUCAACCACCCAAAAUAGCCAAUUUUCGUAUACAAUCAAAAGUGAAGUAAAACCACCAUGUAUCUCAUCCCAUUUUCCAACCCAAUCCAUCAAAAACUUCAUAUACAUGUAUACUAACAUGCAAGAACGAAAAUCCAUCAUCAAUUCAUCAUAGAUCCAUCAAUUCCCACCAAACUUUCAUCAUGUAAUUUAAUCAAGAUUCAAAGAUCAAAAUUGUAGUAAAAGAUUCAUUCAAAUCAACUUCUUGAAAUCAUAUCAUGCAAAUCUCAAUUUCUCAUUCUCAAAUCUUUAAUACCCCACUUCCACCCAUAAGAAACAACAUACUCAUCAAGUAAAUUCUGCACAUACAAAAAAAAAUAAAAGAGGCAAGUUAGCUCCCCUUACCUCUUGAAGAUCUCUUUUGGACACUUCAACUUCUUCUUCCAAGAGAGCAACUCUUCUCCCCCUUGCUAGACCAAGUCAUCUCCCAUCCUUUGGACACUUAGAAUUUUCGUGCUCUCCUCUCCAAGAGCCUCUUUCCUCUGNCCAAAAACUCCAGACCAGAUUUUAGGCUAAAAGAAAUGAGCCUAGACAACCAAGGACCCCUCCCCAUCACAAACAACCAUUUAAUUUUGUAAAGUAGGUCUUCCCAUGCUCCUCCCAUGCUCAAGGGACCAAAAUGUUGGAUCUGGAUCAGAUUCCCUACCUUUCCACGCAAUUCCCAUGUGGUUCCAACGUUUUGUCUUGAAAAGAAAGAGUAAGUUACCCUUGGGCGCUAGUCCUUCUGACAGUAACGUUUUCAUGACUUAUCCUAUCCGGUUGGAACCCUUCCCGAACUCCAAAAAUUAUGUAUGAGUACUCAAAUUGAAGCUCUUUGAGUCUAGUUUUCAAUAAAAAAAACAUCAACUCAUUUGGAGUUCUAUAGAGAGAGUAAUGAGCAAUUUAGUCAGCAAAGGUCAAAUCUGGAAAGCACCAGAACGUGAGUAAAUUUACGAGUUUUAAACAUUUUACUGCAGUUAGUAUAGUUGUNNAAAAAUUAUGAUUCNGGUGCCCCAAGAAAGAUGUUUAAGUCUAGAAUCCAAUAAAACAAGAAUUAACUAAUUCGGAGUUCUGUGGAGNGAGUUAUGAAUAAAACACUGACCAAAGGUCAAGGCUGAAAAUUACCAGAACGUGAUCACAAUUACGUUUUUUACAAAUUUUACUGCAGCUAGCCCCGUUGUCCAAAAAUUGUGAUUUUAGUGUCCAAAGAAAGACAUUGGAGUCUACUUUCCAAUGCAACAAGAAUCAACUCAAUANCACAUGUGUACAAAAAGUUAUAAUUAAAAUACUAAACCAAGUCAAACCUGACAGCAUUGUAUUUUACAAUAUAACUUGAAUUUUGACAC